ACUUUAUUUGAUUGGCUGUAUAAUCUCUUGGUACUUUUUUCUAUAUGAUAUACUCUUACCAAUGUUCAAGAAUAAAUAAUUUUCAUGAUCUAUUUGAGUACUAUUAGUGUAUUCUCUGAUGUGUUUAUGUUUUGUGCAGGAUAUAUUGUUAAUAUUCAUGUUCUUUACUAGAUACAUGACAUUAGCAUCAGUGUAAAAUCCAUAUUUUCAUAAUAUUAUCGUAAAUUAAUUAUUAUGUUAAACAGUAAUACAUUGUUAAUAUUCAUGUUUUUUACGAUUCAUAAAUGAUACAUGACAUUUUUAUGGACUGAAAAAUAUAAAGGAUUUAUACUUAUGUUCUUCUAUAAAACUUUGGUACGCCUUAUUUAUUUUGAUUUUGAUUUUGUUUUUGUAUUUUAUGAGAUAUGUGACAUUUAUUUUCAUCGUGGACAAUAUACACGGUUAUCACAAUACUAAAAGGCCAAUAGGAAGUGUUUUGAAGCUAUCCACGUAAGCAAAUUAAAUCAGCCUAUCACCAUCCACCAAACUUCCACGUCAACUAAUUAUUCACUCUUCACAGAUUAAAACAGGGUCAUAUGUAUGGGCUUAUACUAAUACGAUCAGGCCCACUUAUUACCAACCUAAAUGGCAUUGUAAAUCUAAACCCAACUAUCUGCGCUGUCUUUUCCACUUCGUCGUCUUUGUUUCAGAUAUAUACAAAUAAUCGUUUCUUUUCUGUAUUUAUCACAACCCCACCCUCAAACAUUUAAAGCUCAUCUUUACUCUUUUCUUUAGCUCAUAUGGUUUUGUUCCACCUUCCUUUUUUUUUCUCCACCUAUAUAAAUCACUUCUUGAAAUCAGUCAUCCAAACCAAAUCUUCCUAGCCUAUUCCAUAAAAUUGUUAAACAUAUCCAAACGGUUUCAAAAUCUGUGAAUCUAUUGCAACGUUCCUGGUAGUCGUUUUCUUCAACCAUGGUGAUGUUUUUAAUAUAAUCUGCAGGGAGGAUGAGAUCGACUUGAGGAUGUUAUUAUUUUGGAAUUCAAACCCGAAAUAUUGAUUUCACAAUCAUAAGCUCUCAGUUCUUUGGGCUCGCUUCGUCUUCCUAAAUAUUCAAUCUCGGCCUGAAGGGCGACAAGUUACGACAUGGGAUUUCGUUCCGUCGGGAUCGUUACUUGGCGUGGAGGAUGAGAUCGUCACUGGGAGAUUAUUGUUUCGAGUUCAGACGGGAGAGAUUGACUUUGCUCUUCGUUUACGUGAUUAUGGGCCAAUACACACAGAAUACGAUACAAAUACAAAUACAAACACAAAGCUCAAGCAAAAGCUCAGCAUUAGAGUUUCAGCCACGGAGAUUCAACAGCAACUAAAGUUGUGCUGUUACUUGGCUUUCAAUUUUUAGAAGCACAGAAGGAAGUAAUAAAAGGAAACAUGUAUGCACUUUGUAAAUGCCCAAGCUCUUUGUCGACGAGGUUGAACUUGAGAUGAUUCAGCUGAAUAAAAAAAAGAGUUGGAUGGCCAAACUGAGUGUAACAGAGAAAAUAGAAGACCAGAAGUUGAGAGAUACCAGGAUUGUGAUCUUACUAAUGAGACGCGGCCAAUUUGGCUCUUGAACUCUAAGGAGGUGACAAAAGAAGAGGACAAUGAGUUUUACAUAAAAGCUUUCAACGAGUAUUUAGACCCACUAGCAUCAACCCACUUCACAACAGAACGUUGAAGGAAAAACAUCUGUUGGAAUAGCAUAUAUCCAUGAAACAACCCAAGCAGGUUAUGAUUUGUACCUGUUAAAAAUUGGUGGCCUUAGUUGUUCAAGUUGUUCAUGACUGCUAACUUUUUAUGUGCAUCUGCGUGCAAGUUGUUUAUGACUGUUGUAAUUGCCGUUUUUAAGGUGGGUUGGACACCAAUGCAUAUCACUUUUGUCAUGGAAUAUGCUAUUGGAGGUGAACUAUUUGAGCAUAUAUGAAGCCAUGGAAGAUUCAGGGAGGGUGAGGCAAGGUAUCUUUUCCAGCAGAAUAUAUCAAGAGUCAACCAUUGAUGUGAUUAAAUAAGAAGUGACUUCGAAGUUCUUUUUAACUCUCGCAGAGAUACUGAAGCUUUAUAUAUCAUUCGUGUAGUCCCAUUAUUUUUCCUUAUUCUUAUAGCCAAUACCCCAGAGUUAGAGAUAUCACUUUGUUUAUAGUUGGUGGUGGACAUAUAUGUCAUCGGGCUUUCCGUUUUGGCGAAAAUAAUUCUGUGUCUGGGAUAAUGUAACAUAACAUUGAUUUAAAACUCAUCUAAGUUUAAAGUAAUUGUACGGAAUCCACAUUAUCUGUGUAACCUGAGCUCUUUACUAAUUAAUUGUUCCAGAUAACCACAAUAAAAACAACAAAUCAUUGACAGAGUCUUCGAUUUUAUAUUAAGCUAACACUAAUAAUUUAAAAAACAUGAAAAAGUUGGUUGCUUAUAUAAUCCAUCAAUAAAAAUAUUAAAUAAUUCUAAAUAUACUAGAAUGGGUUUUUAAUGUUUUGGUUUAUUUUGUUUACAAGCCAUAACAACACAAGUUUUUAGUAUAUCAUGCAGUAUAUCAUGCAAAAAAUGCUAAAUUUAUAUAUAUAUAUUAAUAAUUUAAGAAAGUAAAAUACUAUUAAAAUAAAAAAUAGUAAAAAAUUUACCUAUACUGUCAAAACACCAAAUAAAUCUGUGUAAAGGUCAAUUUAAGUUAGAGCAUCAUCAAUCGAUGCAUUUGCUUCUCGCUAUACCAACUCCAAAAUAAGUUGUUUAAUAAUUAACUUAAGAAUCUAAUAUAAUAAUAAUGGAAGUAUGUUUCUACUGUAACAUACAAAUAAUAUUAAAAGGUUAUAUAUUUUCAACACAAUACCAACGACAAAUAUAUCUGUAUAUGUGUAAUGUAAUGCACAUAAUAUAUCCAAAGUACUUUUAUGUAGUAUCUAAAUAUGGAAUUAGUUCAUAAUGAAAUCUAUUACAUAUUUCACAAUUUUAUAGCAAAUACUUAUUUACAAAAUAAGAAAUACCAAACAAAUUUUAAAAUUUUAAUAUCACAUCAAAACAAAUAAAUGAUAUAAUAUAACACAAAAUAAAAUAUUCUAUUUAAAACUUUGAUGUUUAAGCUAUACUCCCACUAUUUCAAAAUUAUAAAUAUUUUAGAGAAGAACUAUUUUAAAAAGACAUUUUUUUUAACAUUUUCAAUGUAUUUUUAUCAGAUAAUGAUUGUAAAAUGUAAAAUUUGAAUAAAUAAUGUGAUUAUCGAAUUUUGACUGGUUUAAAAUUAUGAAAAUAUUUGAUAAAAAUGGAUUUAUAAUCAAAUUUAAGAUUAAUUUUUAAUAUAUAUGGAAAUUUUUUAAAAUUCAUCUGUUAAAACAUUAAUUUUAUAGACAAAUAAACCGCGCGUAGCGCGGUAAAAUCUCUAGUAUAUUGUAAAACUUAUAUGAUCAUACGCCUAAACAUGUCAUACUCCGGAUAAGCCCGUUUCAAUUCAUAUGAUCAGUGGAUUAAAUAUUAUAUAAUCAUACGCUUAAACCUAUUGCUAUGUAUUUUUUGCACAUAUGUCAUAUAUAAAAAGAUGAAAACGCAAUCUUGAGUGAUUGUAAAAGACAUUCAAAAUGAAAUUCCAUAUUAAAUGGUGAUUGCAAGAAAUGCCGUCUAUAAAAAGAUUUAAACUUUUGCAAGAAGAUUUUUUUUAUUACGAAAUUAACAUAAAUGGUGAUUGCAAGAAAUUUGCAAAUUUCUACAUUUCUUUCCAGUUAAUUUUAAAUUCAAAUAGUAUUUUUAAUAUAGACUUCCUUUGUUAUGGCCUCUCGGGUGUAAUAAUUUCUAUAAUUGUCUAGAAAUCUACGAACAAUUACGGAUCUGCUCAUCAUUGGUUUGUGGAGAUAUGCAUUCAUUUUUUCCAAUUCCUGCGUGCGAAAACCCUAUCAAUUAUGACUAUAUAUAUCAUACUAUCCUCAUAUCUACUUCCUCACAACACACACGUUCAAAAUUAGCAAAGAAAAUGAGUGGCGUGAAAUUCAUCUCUGAGUUGAAGCCAAAAAAGUCUUUGCGGAAGAUUAUGGUGAAAGUCAUAAAACUUUGGAUUAGUUUUCUUUGCAUUAACAUGUAUGUCAAACGUUACUUCUGUUAAUCUAUACCAUGUAUAAUAUAUCACUUUUGCUUUUGCCUUUUCAAUAUCUAUAGAAUAAAUUUUAUAAUCUCUUUUAAUCCAUUCAUCCCGCACAUGGUGCGGAUUAUCUCCUAGUUAUUUGUAUAAAAUAACCGACUAAUCGUGUGCAGGUCUUUGGAUAUUGGGUUGAGAGUUAUUCAAUUGUGGCCCAUUUUUUCUACAACGACCAAAUAGCAAAAAUAUGCCCAAUAGCAAAAAUAUGCCCAUUAUAUUAAAUGUGAUUUCACACAUUCCACAUCACAAAUAGUCGAAUACUAUUUAAACAUAACAACGAAAUUAAAAAAGCAAAAACAAAACUGUAAAGAUAUCGAUCCAAGUUAUAGAUUAUAGCUCCGACUUAAGCUACGGCUUGAUUAAGUUGAUUCAUCUGAUCUCGAUCUUGACAAGUGAAAACACAAUCAAAAACGAAUCAACACACCAGAAAUGUUUAACCGGUGUUCACCGUACUUUCCCAACGUGGAGAAGUCACUAUACUCACCAGAGUUAGCUCAGCUAGCAAUUCACUAUAUAAUCAAUGAGAUUACAAGUGUUCGAUAUCAUGAACCUGAUAUCGUUUGUUCUUCUUUGCAGCUAUUACAAGGGCAUACACAAGGAGUUAACUGGAGAAGAUUACGUCAGCGACUACGACGGAGAUGACAGCCUUUCAACUUCUGAUUCCUCCAAUGACGGCAAAGGAUCGUAGCUUGAACCAGAGAAUGCUUGGCGACUUCGAGAGCUGCGAUCACUACCGGAUCUUUUCUAUCUCAGUCUUAGCUUUUUCUUCCAGCUUUUUCCUCGCCGAAUCUUGGACCUUCUCGCACCAUCAUCGUCAUCUUCCAGCUUUUUAGACCUUUUCGGGUUGUUUUCCGACUUAAGCAAUUUUACGAUUUUCUAAGAAAUCUCUUUCGGUACGACGUCGAUUUUACGAAAUAACUUAAAUCAAUCGUAUAGUUAAGGUAACUUUGGUGCUUACUUAACUGUUCCCGUUUUAUAUGAUUGAUUCAAACACAUACGAGAAAACUAAUAUUCACGGUUUUUAUCGUACAGUCUCAACUCUAACUCCAAUCGAGACGAAACAAGAGAUGGUUCACUCGAGACCCGAAGAAAGGAAGCUUGGCUGUCGUAAUAAGCCGGAUUGGAUAUCCCCGCUCGCCAUAUGGCGAGCUUGACUUUGGAUCAUCCCGCUCGCCAUAUGGAGGCGAGCAGGUCCAAUCUCCGGUGAGGAACCGACGAUGAAAUAGGAAGGAGAAAUUGUUGUGAGAGAAGAUGAUGAAACGGGAAAUAGAAGUGGUGGGGUGGUCGUGCGGUGGUGGGGUGGUUGUGCGACGGUGGUGGGGUGGUGCAACGGAAAUAUAUUAAUGUAAAUUUAUAUACAGAUUUUGUAUUUUAUUAAUCAAAAAUGUUUUGUUUUGUUUUCAUUUCUGUUUUUUCUUUUUUUUGGUUUUAAAAUAGCCACUGAUAUGUUGAUUAAACUGUGGCUAAUUGGCUAUACUUAACCACGAAAAAAACAGUAGCAAAACCGUAAUUAAAAUAGCCACGAAAGUGCAGUGGCAAAACCGUGGCUAUUAGCAACGAAUAGCCACGAGACUAUGGCCACGGGUUUUUUUCUAUCCAUAAGUUUGGCUAAUUUUGUAUAACCACGAUUUUAAGGUGUAUAGCCACGAUUUUAAGCUGUAUGAGACAGGUUUUUACUAGUGAUUCCAGCUUAGAUAAAAAGUGAAAUCCGUGUUCUAUCUAGGUUCCGCACUGACCUUUCACGCUCUGACCUUUCCCGCUCUUUCCUGCUUUAUGUGAAGCUCCCUUUAUCAAAAGAAAGUGCUAGUUCGACUUUUAAACGUGGGUUUAGGUAGGGACUGCUGUCAGUCGCUUCCCCAUUUUAUUUAUGUAAUUUAUUUCAGAUUGUUAUCAUGUCUUCUAGGAUUAUGUUUAAAACUACUUGUUAGAUUUAAGAAUUUCUAAUGUUCAAUGUUAAAUUGCUGAUCAUAAAACUGAUAGGGCUAUUCAUCAUAUUUAAACGAAGAUUGUUUAUUAGAACGUAAACCAACUCUCAUUGAAGAUAAGUAUUUAGUCCACAGAAAAAAAUCAUUUUUAAUAAAAUUAGACAUUUGAUAGUUUUCCACAGCAAAAAGUGGGUAACUAACUAUUGAGUUCUAGUUCUAAAAUGAACAAAUUUUGGGUUCACCCUCUAUGCUGAAUUCUCAAAUUCACCUCUAUUAUUAACACCAAUCAAAAUUGCCAUGUAGUAUUAGAAGAAAAAAGAAUAUUAAAACUAGAAAAAAGAAAGGAAAAUAGCUUCUUCUUUUUUGUUCAAAAAGGAAAAUAGCUUUAAAAAUAAAAAUAAAAGACUUCGCUUGUUAACGCCGUCGUCGAUGGCUUCUUCUUCUUCAUCGCCCACAAAGAAGAUGGAACCUGUGUUUGUCUUGCGUCUCCAAUUCUAUGCUUUCAAAUAGAAUUUCAAUUUCUUCUCCAAGCCAAAUCCAGCCAUGUACUCCAGUUCUAAUUCCAUCUCGCCAUUCCUGGCCCGAGGAAGAAGAUACUUCUUGCGUUGUGGAUAUAUUUGUUUGUUGCUUAUGCAAUUCUCUCUAUCAUGUCCUUUUCUUUCUCAAUUGUAUUUCAAGAGACAAAAGUAGGCAAGAGUUUUGAUAUUAAGACAGUUGUUGUAAUACAAAGAAAAGCAUUAAUAUUGAAUGAUUGAAAAGGAAUCUUGGAAUGUAAAAAAAAAUGUGUUUUGAGCUUCGGAUCCUGCUUCUCUUUGUUGAACCUUGGAUAAGCAAAGGGGACAAGAAGGUUUACAAACAAACCUGUUCUCCUUAGUAAUAAAGCAUCAUGGGUAGUGACUGAAGCUGGACACAUAGAUCAUGGCGAACCAAGCUUGGCUAUUAGCUUUCAAUUCUUGUCUAUAAUGAAAAUAAAGCAACAAUUAACACCAGCCGACUUAGCUCAGUGGUAGAGCACGUUACUUUUAAUCCCGUGUCCACGUUCUAUAGCUGGUCCAUGACGUUGCCACAAUGGCAAGCGUCAAUGAUUGCAUGAAGCUCUUGACUCAUUAGGCAAUAUGAAGAUCUGAAACCACGAGAUACCAAGAAACUGCUGGCAUCGUUUUUUAAAAACACCAAUCAUAAAAAGUUCGUUAUAUUUUUUUUAUAACACUGUAAUAUAUAAAUAACCAUAAUUUUGCAGAGUCGCAGCAUUGAUCAGCUAUUUAGAUCAUUUUAAAAUAA